rnacentral:rRNA from 1 species
GUGGGGAAUUUUGGACAAUGGGCGCAAGCCUGAUCCAGCAAUGCCGCGUGCAGGAAGAAGGCCUUCGGGUUGUAAACUGCUUUUGUACGGAACGAAACGGUCCGGGUUAAUACCCUGGGCUAAUGACGGUACCGUAAGAAUAAGCACCGGCUAACUACGUGCCAGCAGCCGCGGUAAUACGUAGGGUGCAAGCGUUAAUCGGAAUUACUGGGCGUAAAGCGUGCGCAGGCGGUUUUGUAAGACAGGCGUGAAAUCCCGGGGCUCAACCUGGGAAUUGCGCUUGGGACUGCAAGGCUAGAGUGCGGCAGAGGGGGAUGGAAUUCCGCGUGUAGCAGUGAAAUGCGUAGAUAUGCGGAGGAACACCGAUGGCGAAGGCAAUCCCCUGGGCCUGCACUGACGCUCAUGCACGAAAGCGUGGGGAGCAAACAGGAUUAGAAACCCGGGUAGUCC